ACUUGACUUGGUUCUCCUUUGGUUCCAACAAUAAUACUGCAGAUAAUGACCAGUUUACAAUGAAAUUUGCCAAAGUUACAUACAUGUCUUCAAAGGCUUGCAACGCCUUUUACAACAAGCCUCCCUAUUGGUUCAGCGUUCCUGCUUCGAUGUUGUGUUUGAAUUUAACGGAAAUUGGAUACUGCGAUAGGGACAAUGGUUACCCACUCAUUGGAUACGCACAGGAUACAAAAACCAAGGUUUUUAAACCUUUUCUCGUCGGUUUGGCAGCCCAGGAUCGGGACAAUCUUUGUCCUCAAAACUCAUCGGCGACUUACUUCAACACUCCAGAUUUAUUCACCAGAUCGAUUCAUCCUACAAGUGGAUCGCAGCAAACGGAGGCCCAUCAGUGCAAUGAUUCAACAGAACUAAAUUUGUUGAGGAAAUAAAAUUUUAGACAUCAA